rnacentral:lncRNA from 10 species
CUCGUUUGAAAGUGUCGGUAACAGGCUCUGUGUCUGAACCAAAGUUUCCCUUGCAACCUGGUGUGGCUGCAUGAUGGAGUUUGGGCCGUGACAUAUGGUGGGUUUGACGUGUGCCACUCUUAGGGCCAACUUCUAAAGCCUCCAAGACACAGCCCCAUGCCCUGUGCCCUUCUGCAGCUCAGAGCAGAUGAGCCCAGUGACCUUGAGGCCCUUGAAGAUGGUGGAACCAGGAGACAUGAGGGGCCUUGGCCUGGAAACACAACUCGAAGGGAAAUCACUCAUCUGGAAAACGUGUUUGGACCCAUACCACACCGUGGCAAAUACCUGGUAAAACUGUCAUCUGAAAUUGCUUGGAAAUAGGACACUACCACCUAAACCCACAGCUCGUAGGCCAGGGCACCUCAACUGUAGUCCCCAGACCAGCAGCAUCGGUGUUACCUGGAAAAUUAAAAAUGCAAAGUUUUGGGCCCACUUCAGACCCCAGGUCAGAAAUUGUGGGUUGCAGAAAUCUGUGUUUUAAUAACCCUUCAGAUGACUGUGGUGCCCGACAAAGUUGAAAUGCCUGCUCCCAUGUGUGCUGGGUUUAGUUUGUGCUUUAGCAAAGCGGGAUAAGAAAGAAAGGAGGCCAGGAUGGAAUUCGCUGGUUUCCAACUAGAAGUGACAGAAAAUAGAAAGAGUCCAGUAAUGUGAGGUCUUGAAGUGUUGGGAGAAUUCAUUCAUCACUUCUAGAUUCCAGACAAUCAGAAAUAAAAUUUUAAAAGUCUUUCAAUGACAAACUAAGACUUCUCAGUUGGGAAAAAAAAAAAAAAAGGACUCAGUCUUGUUGCAGACAUGAGAUGAAGAGUGUGGUCUUUUCACAAAUGCCUGUGCAAGGGAGUCAAGGACAGAAGCCAUCCGGUGGGCUCCUUGGCACGGGGGCGGCUGAAGCAAACCAACCAGGAGCCCACGCAGCUGUCAAGGGCUUGUGUCAGCAAGUAAAGCCUAGACUGCUUGUGACUGUGAAGUGUAAAAGUGCCCCUGGGUCCUCAGGCCUGUGGACAGGACAAAGCCAAAGCCGCCCAGCGCCGUGUGAUGCGGCCACAGAGAACACGAGCCUCGGGAGAGAGGAGCCUGGGGCUGGAAAACAAGGGUGAAGGACGCUCCCCUCUGGCUGCAGGAGAGGGGCUGCUGAGGGCAAGAUCCAUCAUUUCUUGGGACCAAUGAUGCUGCUUCCUACUCUCUGCUUUCUGCCUGGGAGUUUUGUCUGGGACGCCUGUGUCUGCCCCACUCACUGUGUGGUGCAAGCUCCAUUUCCAGUGAGGACAACCGUGGCUGCCGAGAGCACCUUACAAGCCAGGCAUCCUCCUCUGAGCUCAAGGCAGCCUUGAGAAGUGGGACGAAGACUUCCUUCACGGGAAGAGGAGCGGCUCAGAGAAAGGAAGAGGCUAGUCCAGAACCACCACGUGGACAUCUUCUGUGAAGGCCCUGGGGUGAAGGGCACAGGUGGGAUUCAGAAUAGAAAUGACUCGAGGGACGCAAGGAGUUGGGAUCAGAAGAAGCAGCAGAAACUCCUGCUCUGCAGACACAGCAGACAUUACUGGGAAAGACACCAGAGACCCAGGAGUUCACCCAAGUCCUCUGCACACUGUCUUCCCAGCCCUCUCUCCUGGAUCUGAGAUGAUUUCACUUAAAAACACAAGCCUUUGCUUAAAGGUAGAUGAACAUUCCUUUCAGUUUCUAAGAUGGGGGGCCCACGGUCCUAGGCGCUGAGUCAGAAACUUUUUAGAUGUCCCCAGAGUGCACAGGUUUAAGGACAGAGGGAGAUUCUCAGUCUUCCUGGGUCCUCCCUGUCUCUCAGCCCAGUCAUCACACUCUAAAUCCCAGGGACUUGACUCUGCCUUCCAAUAGUUCUCAGAUCCACCUACUUUGCUCCCUUCUUUCAGAGCGCAGGUAGCCACUUGCUCUCCCAGAGAGUGCUGCAGCGGUGAUGAUCGGUUUCCCCCCUCCCCACCUGCUCAGUCCUGCAAAGCCUGGACUCUGCUCCAAGGCCUUUGGGACCCAACACCUGCUUUCCAGCCUCAGGGCCUCAGGCCUGAGACCACAGGGGCUCUUCCCGGCGGCUGUACCUCCUGCCAUUCACCUGCUGAUUUCUU